GAGGACACUCCAAGGAUGAAAACUCAAUGAAUGAUGUCCCUGAGGAUGGAAACUCCUCUCCUGGAGGCCGAUACCAUGGACUGGCAGCAGGUGCUCUGAUUCUUGUAACUGCUGCAGUGGUUGGUGUCCUGACAUAUAGAAGAUAUAAAGUCUAAGCU